AGCGGGAUGUAGCAAUACAGUUGCCGGCGACCGGCGGAUGGGUGCGUAACGCGUAUGCAACCUACCUUAUACAGGGGAAUAACCUUUCGAAAGGGAGACCUAACACCCCAUGGUAUUGAUUUAAGGCAGUCUUAGAUUAAUUAAAUAUUUAUAGGUAUAAGGAUGGGCAUGCGUAUGAUUAGCUAGUUGGUAAGGUAACGGCUUACCAAGGCGACGAUCAUUAGGGGUCUGAGAGGAAGGUCCCCCACACUGGUACUGAGACACGGACCAGACUCCUACGGGAGGCAGCAGUGAGGAAUAUUGGUCAAUGGGCGCAAGCCUGAACCAGCCAUGCCGCGUGCCAGGAAGACGGCCUUAUGGGUUGUAAACUGCUUUUACAUAAGACUAACCGUAUAUUUGCGAAUAUACCUGAAUGUAUUAUGAGAAUAAGGAUCGGCUAACUCCGUGCCAGCAGCCGC
rnacentral:rRNA from 1 species